rnacentral:snRNA from 1 species
AUACUUACCUGGCGUAGGGGAUACCGUGAUCAUGCAGACGGUUCCCCCAGGGCGAGGCUGCUCCAUUGCACUGCGGAGUGAUUGACCCUUGCGAUUAUUUUUAUUUUUAUCAAUAAAAAAAUCAUAAUAAAAAAUGUAUACCCGAAUAAUUAUUUUCUUUAUAC